UAUACGACCGUACCGCAAACCGACACUGGUGCGCGAGAUGAGUAUUCUAAGGCGCUUGAGAGAACUCAGGAGAAGGAACUCGGCAAAUUGACACCGUAACUUCGGAAGAAGGUGUGCCCUAUUAGUGUGUAGUGAACAACGAAGCAUGAAUGGGUUGCAAAAAAUCGGUGGCUGCGACUGUUUAUUAAAAACACAGCACUCUGCAAACACGAAAGUGGACGUAUAGGGUGUGACGCCUGCCCGGUGCUGGAAGAUUAAAUGAUGGGGUGCAAGCUCUUGAUUGAAGUCCCAGUAAACGGCGGCCGUAACGAUAACGGUCCUAAGGUAGCGAAAUUCCUUGUCGGGUAAGUUCCGACCUGCACGAAUGGCGUAACGAUGGCCACACUGUCUCCUCCUGAGACUCAGCGAAGUUGAAAUGUUUGUGAUGAUGCAAUCUCCCCGCGGAAAGACGGAAAGACCCCAUGAACCUUUACUGUAGCUUUGUAUUGGACUUUGAACAGAUCUGUGUAGGAUAGGUGGGAGGCUUUGAAGCAGGGUCGCUAGAUCUUGUGGAGCCAACGUUGAAAUACCACCCUGGUGUGUUUGAGGUUCUAACCUAGGUCCAUUAUCUGGAUCGGGGACAGUGCAUGGUAGGCAGUUUGACUGGGGCGGUCUCCUCCCAAAGCGUAACGGAGGAGUUCGAAGGUACGCUAGUUACGGUCGGACAUCGUGACGAUAGUGCAAUGGCAUAAGCGUGCUUAACUGCGAGACUGACAAGUCGAGCAGAUGCGAAAGCAGGACAUAGUGAUCCGGUGGUUCUGUAUGGAAGGGCCAUCGCUCAACGGAUAAAAGGUACUCUGGGGAUAACAGGCUGAUACCGCCCAAGAGUUCAUAUCGACGGCGGUGUUUGGCACCUCGAUGUCGGCUCAUCUCAUCCUGGGGCUGUAGCCGGUCCCAAGGGUAUGGCUGUUCGCCAUUUAAAGAGGUACGUGAGCUGGGUUUAAAACGUCGUGAGACAGUUUGGUCCCUAUCUUCCGUGGGCGCUGCAGAUUUGAGGAAGCCUGCUCCUAGUACGAGAGGACCGGAGUGGACACACCUCUGGUGUAUCGGUUGUCACGCCAGUGGCAUUGCCGAGUAGCUAAGUGUGGAAGAGAUAACCGCUGAAAGCAUCUAAGCGGGAAACUCGUUUCAAGAUGAGAUCUGCCGGGGCCUUGAGCCCCCUAAAGAGUCGUUCAAGACCAGGACGUUGAUAGGUCAGGUGUGGAAGUG
rnacentral:rRNA from 1 species